UACGGGGGGGGGCAAGCGUUUGUUCGGAAUUACUGGGCGUAAAGGGCUCGUAGGCGGCCAACUAAGUCAUACGUGAAAUCCCUCGGCUUAACCGGGGAACUGCGUCUGAUACUGGAUGGCUUGAGAUUGGGAGAGGGAUGCGGAAUUCCAGGUGUAGCGGUGAAAUGCGUAGAUAUCUGGAGGAACACCGGUGGCGAAGGCGGCAUCCUGGACCAACACUGACGCUGAGGAGCGAAAGCCAGGGGAGCAAACGGG
rnacentral:rRNA from 1 species